rnacentral:misc_RNA from 1 species
CCGAGUUUACAACUCCCAAAACCCCGUGUGAACGCUACCAUCGUUGCCUCGGCGGGACCGCCCCUGGACAGGGCGCCCCGCCGGAGGAAAACCCCAGACCCUCGUGUUUAGGCCGCCACUGGGCGGUCCGCAUCACCUCUGAAAACCCCCUGCGCUCCCCGGAGCGGAGGGAAAUGAAUCA